UACCGAAAUGACUAGCAUUCCUUGACGUCACCAUCUAUGUAUAGAAUGAUUUUUGCUGAUAUUUUACAAAAAUAUCAAUAUAAGUUUGUUUACGAAAAAAAGCUUAAUUUCAAACAUCGAUUUUUAACUAGCGUUGUAAAAAAAAUGUAAAGAAUGGCUUGGCUGAAGGAUGGAUUUGUUGAUUACCCGUCUAGGAAUACCGUUUCGUCUCUAGAUAGCACUAACAAGUUUUAUUGCAAAACCGAAUGUAAAACCGAAAGUAGGACUCAGGUAAAAUGGUAAAGCACACAGGUGGUUGUCACUGCGGUGCCCUGAGGUACGAAGUUGAAGCUCCUGCGAAACUGCACGUGUAUCACUGUAACUGCAGUAUAUGCGUGAAGAAACAGAAUCAUCACUUUAUUGUGCCAUCAGCCAAAUUCACCCUUUUGAAGGGUGUAGACAACAUCACUGUGUACACAUUCAACACCCAUCAGGCAAAGCACACAUUCUGUAAGACCUGCGGAGUGCAGU